rnacentral:piRNA from 1 species
UGAAUUGGUGACCUUUACCCCUG